rnacentral:rRNA from 2 species
GUGAUCUGCCCUGCACUUUGGGAUAAGCCUGGGAAACUGGGUCUAAUACCGAAUAUGACUACAUGCUUCCUGGUGUGUGGUGGAAAGCUUUUGCGGUGUGGGAUGGGCCCGCGGCCUAUCAGCUUGUUGGUGGGGUAAUGGCCUACCAAGGCGACGACGGGUAGCCGGCCUGAGAGGGUGACCGGCCACACUGGGACUGAGAUACAGCCCAGACUCCUACGGGAGGCAGCAGUGGGGAAUAUUGCACAAUGGGCGCAAGCCUGAUGCAGCGACGCCGCGUGAGGGAUGACGGCCUUCGGGUUGUAAACCUCUUUCAGCACAGACGAAGCGUGAGUGACGGUAUGUGCAGAAGAAGGACCGGCCAACUACGUGCCAGCAGCCGCGGUAAUACGUAGGGUCCGAGCGUUGUCCGGAAUUACUGGGCGUAAAGAGCUCGUAGGUGGUUUGUCGCGUUGUUCGUGAAAACUCACA